AAAAACUUAGUUAAAUAAUAACAUUAGAUUGUCGAACUAAAAUUAUCUUUUAGAUAGUUUUUA
rnacentral:tRNA from 1 species